AAAGAGGCCCACCUGUGACUCUCCCUCUGCAGCUCCCAAUAUCACAACUGCAAUAUAGCUCCCAUGAAGGAAACUCUCCUGGAAUCCUCAUGGGAAACUAACUUUGCCUUUGUAUGCUAUUCAUGCUUUUCUCCUGAGCAAGAGCAUGGUGAUAACUUCUGCUGGCCAAUGGAGGCAUUUUGCUUCUGUGGAACGGAUUUCUACCUGCCUUGUGAGAAGAGAUGGAGCUUGACCUAUGAAAAAUAUAAAUCAUCCCUCCAGAAAAAGGCUUUCCUUCUCACCCUAUUUGCACAGCUGUGAUCAGCAGAGUUUUUUGAACAGAAGAUCACUGUCUUUAAGGAAGCAAUGCUCACUAUAGGAACCUUCUGGAAUUCACAUUUGUACUGGGUCCCCAAAUGUCUAAUAUGAUGAACUUCCAGGGGCAGCCCACCAUAGUGAGCAAGCAUUUGAAGAAGGUUUGACUUUGGCUACGAGAUAAGGAAAUUCAAUCAUUCUGUAUGUACUGAGUUUUCCUCAUUUGACUGUAUUCUGGAAUGUUCAGCUACUCUUAUUUACCUGGGUUGACUUUUAAGCUCUCAUACAGGUAACUGGCAGUUAGAGACCUGAACAAGUUACCUGUGCUGUUUUAGAUGGCCUGUGGUAACUGAGACACAUCACAGGUCAUACAUGUGAGAGAACAAACCAUGCUAUUCUGAAAGAGUACUUGGGUACUCUAUUGCCACUUUAGACACCGAUAUUCAAAUACUUGAAUGUCAGACAUUUUCUUUUCUCUUUUUAGCAUGUAAUUGUUUGGAUUCAUCUUUCUUUUUUGGUGAUUUUUGUUGUUUUGUUUUUUCCCUAGAACAGGUCUUAUAUAUCAAUACAUUUGCUUAUCCUUAUGCUGGGUUCCAAGUUUUCUUGUCCAACCUUUACUAGAUUAAAACCAUGAACACUUUGGGUAAUUCUUUCUCUUUUAACUGUUUCAUGUUACAUCUUUGUAUAUAAAACAGUAGCUGCAUCUAUCUCACUCAGUACACAUUCUCAGAACUCAUGAGGAGAUUGUCAAAAUAUAGUAAGAUGUAGGCCACUUUUUCAUCUUUAUCAAUGCACUUAAUCAAUGGUGUUCUGUGUCCCUGAUUAUAGUUAUGUGUCACUAAAUGGAUAGGUCUCAGCAGUGGUUUCUGAGCCCUGAAAGAAGGCCUCUAAACAUCAUCCUGUGCCCUAGCACACACAUCUUGUCUGGCUUUCACCGUCUUCUCUGAAAGACUGAGAUGUUCCCAGAUGUUCCCAGUCAGAGCUGCCAGCUCAGCAGUCCAC
ensembl:lncRNA